GCCGCCGUGGUUCGGUGUGCGGAGUCAGCGGCAGCAGGUGGUGGUGGGCGGGGCGGUGACACUUAGUUGUGAGGCGCAUGGAGACGACCCGCUCACUCUAACCUGGAACAGAGGCGGCGCUCCCCUGCCCCCUCUGCCCAGAUACGAGGUGUCAGAUCGAAGCACGGAUGGCGGGGCGUGUGUCAGAGCUGGUCCUUCGCUCCACCCACAUCACAGACACUGGCACUUACACCUGCACGGCCUCCAACACGCACGGCUCCCUCACUGCUGACUUUCAUCUGCUCUUGCAAGACGUGCCCGCCUCUCCGUCCGGCCUCACGGUGGGGGAGGAGGGGUCCCGCCACCUCACCCUCUCCUGGACGCCCCCGGAAGACUCCAACGCCCCCAUCACUGCCUACAUUAUUAGUUUCGACGCCCAACACUCCCUCAUGGUAGGCAGCGCGAGAGAGGUAACAGUGGAGGGUGACCAGAAGAAAGUACGACUGGAGGGUUUGCAGCCUGCCACCACCUACACGCUGACAGUGGUGGCGGAGAAUAGAGUGGGCCGCAGCCAGCCCUCCCCACCCCUUACAGCCUCCACGCACGAGGAGCCGCCCACAGGACACCCUCAGAAUGUGGUGGUUGUGCCAGUGUCCUCCACGGGCCUGCAGGUGACUUGGGAGCCGCCCCCUGACAACCUGACCCAUGGCACCAUCCUUGGGUACUACCUGGGCUUCAAAGACGACAGUGAAGGGGAGGCGGGAGCUUACAACUUCACCACAGUGGGCGGGGAUGGAGCAGGAGGAACCACAGCAACCCUCUCUGGCCUGCGCCCUCAUGCCAGCUACUCCGUGGUGCUGCAGGCCUUCAACUCCCGGGGGGCAGGACCUGGCUCGCCACCCACCCACGCCACCACACUAGAGGACAAGCCCAGCGCACCACCUGGCCACGUCACCUGUGAGAGUGUGACCUCCACCAGCCUAGUGGUCACCUGGUCGCCACCACCACCCCGUGCACGUAAUGGCAUUAUUACCAACUACAGGCUCAGCUACACCCUCCACCCACCCCAUGGAGGUGGCGAGGGUGGCAGUGUGAUGCAGGAUGGUCAGCGAGCCACCCUGGACAGCCUGACACCCUGGACCAACUACAGUGUGACAGUGGCAGCCUUUACCAGGGCAGGGCAGGGUGUCUCCUCCCCAGCUGUCAUUUGUACCACAGAGCAGGAUGUCCCAGAGGCACCAGCUCGUGUGAAGGCUGUGGUGUCAGGGCCUCGAGGGGCAGUGGUGUCCUGGGCACCACCGUCACGUCCUCACGGUCGCAUCAGCCGUUAUACAGUGCACUGGCAGCCGGCAGGGGGACGUGGGGGCCCUCACAGUCGCCGGGUGGAGCCAAACCUCACCCACCUGUCCCUGCAUGACCUGUCCCACACCACACAUCAGGUGUGGGUGACAGCCUCCACCAGGAUGGGUGAGGGUCCUGCCAGCCCUGUGACACUUGUUAAACCCACACAUACAGUCCCAGCUGGCGUGUGGUCAGUGGGUGGAAACCUGACAGCGGCAUGGAAGGAGGACAUGAGCCUGGCAUGUGGGGCAGUGGGUGUGCCAGAGCCUACCUUGAUCUGGACUCACCUUCGCAAUGUGAUCUCCGACAAUCAUGAGAGGUUCAAGAAACAGCCUGAUGGGACUUUGACACUGGCAGACAUACAGCGCAGUGACAGUGGUGACUAUGUGUGCACUGCCACCAACAAUCACGGUGUGGACACUGUCAUAUACAACCUAACUGUGCUUGUGCCUCCAUCAGCGCCUUCCCUGCACGUGACAGAGACCACAGCCUCAUCCAUAAGAGUGCAGUGGAGUGUGGAGGAUACAGGUGGAGCACCAUUGCAAGGUGCAACAUUGCAUUACCGGUCUGAGGGGGGUGAGUGGAUGACAGAGGAGGUGGGGGGAGAGCAUCGAUCUUACACAGCCACCGGUCUUCGCUGCGGGACUCUACACCACUUCUACCUGACUGCCUACAACUACAUAGGCACCAGUGCAGCGUCACGCACAGAACCAGCGCGUACCAAGGGGAGGGCACCUGAAGCACCUCCGCAGUUCCAGUUUGUGACAACUAACAGCUCCCAGGCCACACUGUACCUGGCGCAGUGGGGCGACGGAGGCUGCCCCAUCACUCACUUCUCUGUGCAAUACCGCAAGGCUGACUCCCGGCACUGGACUACAGUGGGUAGUGAGGUGCCGCCAGCGAGGACCUAUGCAGUGGGAGGGCUGGAGGCUGGUGUGAGGUAUGAAAUGCGCGUCACAGCCCACAAUGCAGCAGGAGCCACACCAGAACAUUACUCCCUCACCACGCCGGGGCUGGGACUGGCAGCAGGUGUGGGUGCAGGCAUGGGAGGGACAGGGUGGGGUGGUGCUCCCUCCUCGGCCCCUGUCUGGCGUGACCCCCGAGUGUUGGUGCCCGCCGCUGUGUCUGCCCUGGCGCUGCUGCUCACUGUCACCACCGUCUGCGUCUGCAUCAGGAAGCGGCCUCAAAGUAGUGCAGGGCAGGAGGGUGGGGGAGAUACUGUACCAGCAGAUGAGGACAAGUCAGCACUGCAGGCAAGAGAGGAACAGCAGGGGCAGUACACCACUGUGCGCCGUCCAGCCCCCACUCCGCCCCAGCACCACCACCACCACCACCCCCACCCUGCUGACACCACCGGUCCGAGGGGGCGACUACAGCGAGGAGGAACUCUACCCCUACGCCACAGCCACCUUCCAGAUGAGUGGCGGCAGUCCCCCACCACCCGCCCCACCCUCACCGCCCACCCACGGCCACCACCCGCAGCCCCGUGCCCAGAAAGCCUUCACUGCUCUCGUGUACCAGGCGCCCUCACUGCACGAUGUCGAUUCCCCGAACCUGAGCGAGAGGGAGAGGGAUGCCAAGAGGGGAGUGGCUCGAGGCUACACUUACCAGCCAACCGAAACAGAGGAUUAUGGGAGUGUGCUGGAGCCGACCCCCGACCCCCGCUGUCCCCCCCACCACCGCCGGCCCCCCCGCCACCUCAGGACCAGGCCACCCGCAGCGUGCGCUUCCCCUAAGGCACCACACCGCCCCCUCCACCACCACCACCACCACCACCACAAGGCACCACAGCAGCACACUCUCCGCCUGGCCCGCCACUCAAGGAGCCCUGCAGCAACACGAAGGCUGAGCGAAGGCAGCACUUCCAUUCGCGACCUCCCCAGUGACGCUGAGUGUGACCUACACUGGUGACAGCCCCUGCAGCACCCUUCUACCCCUAGUUCACCCCAGCACACCAGCCCACGCCCUCCGAAACCCCCAGGACGUCCCCAGAUGCCUCUCCCUCACUCCCACAACCUUGCUGAGGCUGAAUAAGAGGGAAUAAGGGUGCUGGGGUGUGUGACAGCCCUUAAAACACCCUAAUUCACCCCAGCACGCCAGCUCAUGCCCUCCAAAACCCCCAGGACACCCCCUGAUACCUCUCCGACACUUCUUCAAUGUUCCUGGGGUGACUAAGGAUGCUGGGGUGUAUUGAGGGUCCCUGGAACAUCCCUCCAUUCCCAGCUCACCCCAGUUCACCCCAGCACACAAGCCCAAGACCUCCAAAAGACCCCCAGAUGUCCUCAAAUAUCUGUCCGAUGUUCCCACAACCUUCCAGGGGUGACAAAGGGAUGACGGCUUGCUGGGGUGUGGUUUAGGGUGUAGCAGCCAUGUGGUGGAUGUGGUAGUGAGUCAAGUGGGUGGAGUAGCAGGCCUGUGGUAGAUGGAGGAGUGGAGGUGGUGAAAUAUACCCAGCCUGGUGCAUCUCUUGUACUUUACUUUGCCUUGGGUGUAAACGCUGAGUGACUGGAUGUGAGAGGAAAUGGGUACAGGAAUGGGUCGAAUAUCAGAGGAACAAACUCACUAAACAGAAGAGAAAUAGAUACAGGAAUGAAUAAAAUGAAUAGAAUACCAGAGAAAAAGAUGAGUAUAAAAAAAAAUGUUGCUGCUUUAAAACUUUAUGGCUUGACGUGUUAAAAUAAACCAAAGUAAAAUAUAAAAAAAAAUAUUGCUUUGAAAGGAAGUUUUAUGAUAUAUAUAUACAUGCAUACAUACAACCAUAAAUAGACUCUAUACAUAACUCUAUUAUAUAUACAUACAUACAUGCAUAACCAGUGUGAUCUGCUGCUAUACCCUUUCAAUUUCAUUAUCUCAGUCGAGUCCGGUGUGUGAAAUAAUAUUGAUAAUAUAAUAAUAAUAAUAAUAAUAAUAAUAAUAAUAGAGAUAUGCUGUUUUUAUUUAUUUAUUUAUUUAUUUAUUUAUUUUUAUUUAUUUAUUUUUAUUUUAGAAGACCCCCUCAAAACCCACUCAAAACACCCCUUAUCCUGCUCCUCUCCCCUCAAAAAAAAAAAAAAAAAACACCUCAAAUAUAUCUUUUUUUUUCUUUUUUUCCUCAUUUGUUAUUGUUCAAAGUCAAGAAAGUUACUAAUUAUUACUGUUAUUUUUUUUUUACUUAAUUCAGGUAUAGAUGUUCCUGUGUGUGAUGUGUGUGUGGUGAAGACUGUUCAUUAGUGUUCCAGAUGUGAUUCCUGUCAAUUCCUGUCAUUCCUGUCAUUCCUGUCUCCCUUCUUCCCUCUUUUCCUCUCUCCAUCCACUCCCUCUGUCACUUCCUCAUUCUCUCUUCUUCAUCAUCUUCUUAUGUUUUUAGAUGUAUGUAUCUUUUCUCUUUUUUUUCUUCCCUCGUAUUUUUGUCUUAUUUAUCCUUUCCUCUUCCUAUUCUUCCUACUCCAUCCUCUCUUCUUCCUUCCCUUCUUAUAUUUACAGAUGUAUGUAUCUUUUCCUUUCUUCUUUCUUGUAUUUUUGUUUUAUUUAUUCUUUCCUCUUCUUAUUCUUCCUUAUUUUUGUUCAGAUAUACUUGUCCUCUUCCUCCAUCUCCCUCUAAUCAGCUGUCCCUACCAUCUCUAUCCUCUCCACCUACUCUUCCUAUCCUUCAUAUCCUAUCCUAUCUCCUCUUCUUUUUGUUUUGUUUUUUUUGUGUUAUUUUCUGUUAAAAUAUUCAUUCAUUCAGAUUAAGUUGACAUUUAAACUCCUCCUCUCCACUCACUCUCCUGUCUGUUGCAUUCUAUUGGCUGUUGUGAUGGUGAAGCUCCUCUCCCUUUACUCCCCUGAAGCACAUGAUUGGCCAAUGCUGAGGGAGAGGAUGCAUGUGAUUGGUGGAGCUGCAUCGAGUUAAUAUGCAAUGAUUAUGGAAGUGUUGGUCAAUGGGUGUCUUUAAAGUGACUCUGGGAGCACCUGGUGACAAAAUGUUAAGUGCCGUGGUCUUACAAGCUGACCUCUUGACUUGUUCCCAUGGCUUGUAUUCUCAGGCACUUUGGCACCUCAGCUCAACUUCUUCACAGGCCGUAGUGGAGGUUGGCUGAGUUUUCAAGGGUGUUUUUCGUAUUUCUUGUGAUAGCUCUGCCCUCUCUUCACAGGCUGUAGUGGAGGUAAGCAGGGUUUUCAAGGGUGUUUUUGUAGUUCUUUUGAGAGUUUAAAGAAAUAGUCUUGAAAUCCUGACUCAUCAUCUCUCUGGUCUCUGAAAGAAGUGUAGAUGAGAAGAGCAGUGUUUCAGAAUGUGGAAUAUAAAGUUAACAGGUCAGCAAGCGAUGAAUACCCAAUCACCUUUCCUUCGAAAUUGAUCGCUUUUUCUGUGAUAUAGUUGCCAAAAGAAUGAUUAUUAUCUGUUAUUAUAAAAUUACUGUUGGUCGAAUAUGCAUCUCUGGUUAAGGUGAUUUCUUGAAAUAUGACACACACACACACACACACACACACACACACACACACACACACACACACACACACACACACACAGUAAUAAUACUCAAAAACACUACUACCAAUAAUACUUAAGGCUUGGAUAUUAUCACAGUAUAAAAAUCUCAAUUGUAAUACUCCAAAAAAGUAAUAAAUAAUUAAUGUAAUCUCCAUUUGAUCAAACUGUGACAAUAAUGUUAAUGUUUCAAAUCCUCUCACUUAGCAACUCAUUUCACAUCCCCCUCCUUACCUCCUCCCUUUCCUCCUUCACCCCUCAUUCUUCACUCACCAGUACCCUAUCCUAUCCAUCUCCUUUUUCCUCAUCAUCUUCACUUACUCAUCCCCAUUCCAUCUCCCUUUCUCUCCUUCGCUCCUCAUCUCUACCUUAUCCCAUCCCGACAUCUCCGUUCUUUCUCCUCCAUUCCUCACCCACCCCAGCCUUCCCCAUCCACUCUGCAUAUGUCUAGCCUUCUAGUUAUGCAUAAAUGAAUUUCUCUAUACAUACGCUGCCUCUGAACUGUAUAAGUGUUGAUCCUGUGAGCAUCAUCUUUAUACAAAUGAACCAUAUGUAUAUCUGCCUCGAUCUCCGUUUGUAUACAUGCUCUUGAUGUAUUUUUAUAAUAUAAGUACAAAAUGCAUGAA